UACGAAGGGGGCGAGCGUUGUUCGGAUUUACUGGGCGUAAAGGGCGCGCAGGCGGCUCAUUUUGUCAGGCGUGAAAGCCCCGGGCUUAACCUGGGAGGUGCGUUUGAUACGGAUGGGCUAGAGUUCGGGAGAGGAGAGUGGAAUUCCCAGUGUAGAGGUGAAAUUCGUAGAUAUUGGGAAGAACACCGGUGGCGAAGGCGGCUCUCUGGACCGAGACUGACGCUGAGGCGCGAAAGCGUGGGAGCAAACAGG
rnacentral:rRNA from 1 species